rnacentral:rRNA from 1 species
CAAGCGUUAUCCGGAUUUAUUGGGUUUAAAGGGUGCGUAGGCGGUUUGAUAAGUUAGAGGUGAAAUUUCGGGGCUCAACCCUGAACGUGCCUCUAAUACUGUUGAGCUAGAGAGUAGUUGCGGUAGGCGGAAUGUAUGGUGUAGCGGUGAAAUGCUUAGAGAUCCUACAGAACCCCGAUUGCGAAGGCAGCUUACCAAACUAUAUCUGACGUUGAGGCACGAAAGCGUGGGGAG